rnacentral:tRNA from 1 species
GAGGAUAUAGCUCAGAGGUAGGGCACAUGCUUAGCAUGCAUGAGGUCCUGGGUUCAAUCCCCAGUACCUCCA